rnacentral:rRNA from 1 species
UAGUUGACGACGUGUGUUCAGUGAAAUCGAGUAGGGCGGGACACGUGAUAUCCUGUCUGAAUAUGGGGGGACCAUCCUCCAAGGCUAAAUACUACUGACUGACCGAUAGUGAACCAGUACCGUGAGGGAAAGGCGAAAAGAACCCCUGUGAGGGGAGUGAAAUAGAACCUGAAACCGUGUACGUACAAGCAGUAGGAGCAGGCUUUGUCCUGUGACUGCGUACCUUUUGUAUAAUGGGUCAGCGACUUAUAUUCAGUGGCAAGGUUAACCAUCUAGGGGAGCCGUAGGGAAACCGAGUCUUAACUGGGCGUUCAGUCUCUGGAUAUAGACCCGAAACCAGGUGAUCUAGCCAUGGGCAGGUUGAAGGUUGAGUAACAUCAACUGGAGGACCGAACCGACUAAUGUUGAAAAAUUAGCGGAUGACUUGUGGCUAGGGGUGAAAGGCCAAUCAAACCUGGAGAUAGCUGGUUCUCCCCGAAAGCUAUUUAGGUAGCGCCUCGGACGAAUACUACUGGGGGUAGAGCACUGUUAAGGCUAGGGGGUCAUCCCGACUUACCAACCCUUUGCAAACUCCGAAUACCAGUAAGUACUAUCCGGGAGACACACGGCGGGUGCUAACGUCCGUCGUGGAGAGGGAAACAACCCAGACCGCCAGCUAAGGUCCCAAAUUACUACUAAGUGGGAAACGAUGUGGGAAGGCUCAGACAGCCAGGAUGUUGGCUUAGAAGCAGCCAUCAUUUAAAGAAAGCGUAAUAGCUCACUGGUCGAGUCGGCCUGCGCGGAAGAUGUAACGGGGCUAAGUAGUAAACCGAAGCUGCGGCAAUGCACUUUGUGCAUUGGGUAGGGGAGCGUUCUGUAAGCGGUUGAAGGUGUGUGGUAACGCAUGCUGGACGUAUCAGAAGUGCGAAUGCUGACAUGAGUAACGAUAAAGGGGGUGAAAAACCUCCUCGCCGGAAGACCAAGGGUUCCUGUCCAACGUUAAUCGGGGCAGGGUAAGUCGACCCCUAAGGCGAGGCCGAAAGGCGUAGUCGAUGGGAAACGGGUUAAUAUUCCCGUACUUCUUACAAUUGCGAUGGGGGGACGGAGAAGGCUAGGUGGGCCUGGCGACGGUUGU